UACAGAGGGGGCAAGCGUUGUUCGGAAUUACUGGGCGUAAAGGGCGCGUAGGCGGCCUGCUAAGUCGAACGUGAAAUCCCCGGGCUCAACCCGGGAACUGCGUCCGAUACUGGCAGGCUUGAAUCCAGGAGAGGGAUGCGGAAUUCCAGGUGUAGCGGUGAAAUGCGUAGAUAUCUGGAGGAACACCGGUGGCGAAGGCGGCUUCCUGGACCGACACUGACGCUGAGGCGCGAAAGCUAGGGGAGCAAACGGG
rnacentral:rRNA from 1 species